GCUUUGAUAGCUCAGUUGGGAGAGCGUCAGACUGAAGAUCUGAAGGUCCCUGGUUCGAUCCCGGGUCAAAGCA
rnacentral:tRNA from 1 species